rnacentral:piRNA from 1 species
UUCGCUAUCGUAGUUACCGUA